rnacentral:snRNA from 1 species
GAACAGAAAUCUCGUGUG